rnacentral:rRNA from 1 species
UACGUAGGGGGCUAGCGUUGUCCGGAAUCAUUGGGCGUAAAGAGCUCGUAGGCGGCUUGGCAAGUCGGGUGUGAAAACUUCAGGCUCAACCUGGAGCGGCCACUCGAUACUGCCAUGGCUAGAGUCCGGUAGGGGACCACGGAAUUCCUGGUGUAGCGGUGAAAUGCGCAGAUAUCAGGAGGAACACCGGUGGCGAAGGCGGUGGUCUGGGCCGGAACUGACGCUGAGGAGCGAAAGCGUGGGGAGCGAACAGG